GCGCCUGUAGCUCAGUGGAUAGAGUGACGGACUACGAAUCCGCAGGUCGCAGGUUCAAAUCCUGCCAGGCGCGCCA
rnacentral:tRNA from 2 species